rnacentral:rRNA from 1 species
UACGUAGGGGGCAAGCGUUGUCCGGAAUUAUUGGGCGUAAAGCGCGUGUAGGCGGCUCGAUAAGUCCGCUCUGAAAGCCUAGGGCUCAACCCUAGGAGGCGGGUGGAUACUGUCGAGCUUGAGUCUGGAAGAGGCGAGUGGAAUUCCCGGUGUAGCGGUGAAAUGCGCAGAUAUCGGGAGGAACACCAAUUGCGAAGGCAGCUCGCUGGGACAUGACUGACGCUGAGACGCGAAAGCGUGGGGAGCAAACAGGAUUAUAUACCCUGGUAGUCCACGCCGUAAACGAUGGGCACUAGGUGUGGGAGGUGUCGACUCCUCCCGUGCCGUAGCUAACGCAUUAAGUGCCCCGCCUGGGGAGUACGGCCGCAAGGCUAAA